CAGUAGCCACGGUAAUACGUAGGGUGCGAGCGUUAAUCGGAAUUACUGGGCGUAAAGCGCACGCAGGCGGCUCGAUAAAUUAGAAGUGAAAGCCUUGGGCUUAACCUGAAAAUUGCUUUUAAGACUGUCGAGCUAGAAUCCAGAAGAGGGUAGUGGAAUUCCGAGUGUAGAGGUGAAAUUCGUAGAUAUUCGGAAGAACACCAGUGGCGAAGGUGGCUCACUGGCUCAUUCUAGACGCUGAGGUGCGAAAGCGUGGGGAGCAAACAGGAUUAGAUACCCCCGUAGUCCCUGUCUCUUAUAC
rnacentral:rRNA from 1 species